GCUAGGCUGGAGGCUUGAGACCCUUGGAAGGCCCCGUAAGCCCCGCGCCAGCCUGCCUUCCAGCAUUCCUGAGCAAGACCUUUGCGUGGCUCGUUCUCUAGACUCCCUGAGAAACUUCUGGGUGAAGGGAACCAAAGCCAAGCCACUGGCAACUGACCUUCAGGGAACUGACUCCCGGACAGGUGGAGACUGAAUUCCCUCUGCUCUUCUUCCUCUGGAACUGGGUGCCCACACCGUGUCCACAGCCUCAUAUCUCCAAAGCCACUGCUGGGGUUGGGAUGGUGCAAGUACGGCAGCUUUAGUUUGGAUCUGAAAUGUCCCCCACAGGCUCAUGUAUUUCAGGCAUAAAGAAUGCAAGAGUUGUGAGUUCCACCAAGAUUUCAAAUGAAGGCCUCGGAGGCCAGGAAAAGUGUGGCUGGAAUGGAACUCAUUCAGAUAGUUCCUGAGAAGAUGUUAUAUGAAGCUAUAAGAGUGAAAAUGAAGCUGCAAUGAAGACCUCAAGAAUUUAGAGAUACCAAGGUACCAGGAAUAUCUGCUGAGGAAAGCUGCAGUGGAGCCAGCCCAAGAGUGUGACCAAGUGGGUUUCAGCCAGCAAGGCCAUAAAGUCAGGAUGCUCAAGUCCUAUGAAGCUUACAUCAAAUACCAACAGGUGCUUCAGAUGCUGGACAUAGUUAGAGGAUUUAACAUUUUCUCAGCUAGUUUUCAUCCUUGGUAUUCUCCUAUUCCUCUCAUUUGGAAUGGGGAUGUUUACCCUGUGCUAUUUUAUGUUGACAUAGUUAACUUCUUUUUUUUUUUUUUAAUUUUUGUAGGGGUUCAUAGCUCAGAGUUUGCCUGAGACUCAAAGAAGAAUUUGGACUUGGACUUGUAAGCACUUCUAGAACUAUUAAGACUAUGGGGAGGGACUGAAUGUGUUUUGCAUUGUGAAAUGCUUAUGAAUCUUUGGGGGCAAGGGCAUAAUGUUAUAGAUUGAAUCUGGAAUAUAUACCAAAGGCUGUGUGUUAAAGGCUUGGUUCAUUCCCAGCUGACAGAGUUAUUAGGAAGUGGUGGAAAAUUUAGUAGUUGGGACUUAGUUGAAGAAAGUAAGUCUCUGGGGGUAUGCCUUUGGAGGGUACAUUUUGUCCCUGGCCCCUUUUAAUUCUCUCUUUACUAUUUGGCCACCAGAAGGUGAGCAAAAGUACCUGCCAUGUUCUGCCUCUCCACAGACCCAGAAACAAUGAAUUCCAGUGACCAUGAACUGAAACCUCUAAAACUUAAGCCAAAAAAUAAAUCUUUAAGUUGAUUUUCUUAGGUAUUUGCUCACAGAGAUGUGGAGGUAACACGCAUGUCCUUCCAGGGGUUGAUCUUCAAUUGAAAUGUGAAAGUCAGCUUUAUUUUAGAAUCUAUGGAAUGAUACCUUAUAGUCCUUAUUCUGGGAUGAAGAUGACUAUGAGUAGGGAUUGAAGGUGAGCAUGGGAAUGGAAAUGAGUAUGAGAUAGGAUCUGGUAUUGAAUCUUGGUUUGAGGAAAGCAAUAGGAAUGUACAUUAGUGAGGGAAAGUGGAUGGGACAGAGGCAGUGAGGGAGACCUUUAAUCCUCCAUUUAGAGGGCAGGAACAUUACAUAUGCCACUGAAUAAAACAAGAGUGAGAUUCUAGGGGGUGACUGCUCCUAGAACCCUGUGGAGUAUCCACUAUGGACCUUCUGUGUAGCAGGGGAAGACCCCAGAAGAUCUGACUACUGUUUUAAGUUUCCUCCCAAAGUCUUCACAUAUAAUAGCUGCCAAUGAAGAUACAGAUGCCUUUAUUUAGCUUUAAUUUCUUCUGCUUGUCAACAAGUGACUGCAAUGAGUUCCUUGAAUAUCUGCUGGUAUUCAAACCACAUUUGUCUUGAAAAAUUUUCUUCUUCUUUCCCCCCUACACUCUAGCAAGUUGUUCUCUUUGUCUCUCAAAUAGUGCCAGAAUAUUCAAGCCAAAGAAAUUAAAGCUACUGGACUCCAUGUGCUUGGUAUCAGAAUCUCCCUGGAGACAAGUCUCAAGUAGUUGGAGAGGAAAAUGCUCAUGCUGAAAAUGAGAUGUGGGAAUGCUGAGAGUGUGGAUGUCAGGAUGUUUGACAACUCAGUCAUAUAAGCUUCAGAAGACAAAGAGACAUAGAGGGUGCAGCAUAAGGGACUCUUUGGACAGCAGGGUUGAAUAAAGGAGAAGAAUGCAUUGUCAAAAUCCAUAAAUCUCUUGUUUAAAGCCAAUGAAAAAAAAUAAAGACCAGUUUAUUAACACACCUGUACAUGGACAGGUAUGUUCUUAAUGUGCUAUCAAAAGACUGUGAGAACAUUGAAAAAGGAUACACAGCUUAUCAUCUGGAAUGAAUAAUGAGAUAGUUAAAUGCACUUUGCUUCAUAGUGUAAAAAUGGGGUGCAUCACAGAUGCCAAAUCCAUAAUUACAAAAGUUGAGUGGUAGCUAUCAGAAUGGUUAUGUGGGUCUAUCUGCUUUUGUAUAUCUUUAAACAUUUUUGUAAUAAAAAGCUUUUAAAAAGUAACAUAUUAAUUUCCAUAUGACAAGAGGGAGGAGCUGAUAACAAUAGAUGGCAAGGAUGUGUUUAGUCCAUAAACUGGAGUUGAGCUGUUCCUCAAUAUAGAUACUUCAGGAAUUCCUUUCAGGUUAGGCCCUUGGAAGAAAAUUUCUUUCUGUAUAACAGGAAGAAAUAUAAAAUGGGGGGAGGAUGCAUAGAGUAUUUUUUUAAAGUUUAUUAAUAUGAAUUCCAUGUGAUGGCUUCUAGUACCUCUAUGAACUGUGAGUCUAGAACAUUGACUCAACAAGUAGAGAUGACCUCACUUUGAAGAAAGUGUAGAGAGUUGGAAUAAAUGUGUCAUGAGAGAAUGGACUAAGGAAUAGUGACCUAAGCUUCAUGAGGUUUGUUUAUUGAGAGUAAGUAUACCAUAAUUAUUUGGGGAAUAAGUAAGUGAAUUAUUUCCACAUAGUAUGGGACCAACUAUGACUUCACUGUGGUGAGAGUAAACCUGUUAGAUUGAAUCCAGUAGUGAUCCAUCACUUAUAGGAAGACAUCCAUGGGAAAAGCAGAGAGAUGGGAUUUUCCCGGACAAGGAGGAUCAAAUAUAUGGGAUGAGGUUCAGUUGGAGUAGAGCUUUAUUAAUGUUGGUUACUUGAUAGACAAUUCUAUGAUGAAGAGGGAGGGAAUGAAGACCUUUGUGGAUAGAAUGAGAAAUGGAAAAAUUUUUGACACCUCAGAAUUUAAGAGCAUAAACUAGAAGGAUAGGGGGAUGGUUCUGUUUUCUCAGAUGGAGAUGUUUUUCUGGUGAUAAAUUCUAUAAGUGUGUCAAUAAUUAAACUGGACCAAAGGUUAGAAUCCUAAGGUAGGACAAUAUGGAUCAAAGACCAGUUUAUUAACUAGUCCAUACAUGGUGAUUUUCCAGUUCCUCUACCAACUCCUUAUCUGUUUAUCCCAGGGACUCCACAAAAUCUGUAUGUCUUCUGCAACUCUGAGCUUUGAACACUGCUUUGAAUUCUGACAAAGAAGAUACUCUAGUUAGAUUAAAAGGAAGCUGUGGUAGACAGCUUUUUGUUUUGAUUUUGCCAACCAGAAUUCACAAUUUUUCCUGGAAAACCUAUUCAAAUAUCCCCUAGGAAACUCACUCAAUUUUGAGACUCAGUCUGUGCAAGAGGAGUCACCUUCAUGUGUGUAGCAUUCCAUACAGGUCUGUGGUAAGCAGGUGAAAAUCUGUAAACCUGGUGCAUACUUCAGCAUUCACUGUGGGAUCAGGAGCUCAAAGUGAUCUGAGAGAUAUAUCAUGGUUCCAUCUAGCCCAGGAAGAUCAAUGGUGGCAUUCUCAUCCUCAUAAGGGCAAUAUCUUGCAUAUUGUUAUAAGCAUGGGUAGAAAGAAUGUACCAAUGGCACCUUCCCUAAAGGUAAGGAUGACAUGUCUGUAUUCAACCAAUCAGCUGUCUUCUUGUAAAGAAGAGCCCCAUGUUUACUUCUGCCAGUACAACAUAAGCUCUGCAGUACCCUGAAAAGCCUCAGAGAAAUGCUGGCAGAAUCACACUGGGAAAUGCAAGAAGAUGCCAGGGUCAGGAUGUGGGAAUGAUGGGGCAUAAACCUCUCUUCCACCAACAAUGUCAUUCUUUACUCUGUGCAUGUUUUUCUUACUUUCCCACUCACCCUAAGAUAUCUUUUCAUUACUCUUAGCUUUAUUUUACCCUAAUUGAUAUUCUCAACACUGACAGUUGUAGGCAGGGACAGCAGAGACCCCUUUACUCUACAAAACCAUCAACAACAGUCCAGGCAGAUUGAAGAAAUAUUCAGGAAGAGGAACCAUUUGCCUUAGGUGAUUUUCCAGUAAGGGAACCUCAAUGGCAAGAUAACAGUAUGCUUCUAAAAUACGUUACCAUGCCCAUGUGACAGGUUCUUAAGCAGCACCUCCUCUUUUCCCAGAUGUUCUGUUAGCUUGCUUGAAUCCACUUUGGCAAUGCCCUAAAUGCCCCCAGGAAAGGGUCAUGCACCAGUGACAGGCUGAUUGGUGACAAAUUUUAUUUAAAAAAUGACUAAGUCAUUUUAUUCUAAGAAAAUGUACUUCUCUCUACUUGAUCAAUGAGGGGGGAAAGUGUGGACUGUCAUACAAUGCCAUUAAGACAAAGCUAAGAGGUUGGAAACUGCCACCUCCUCCAACUUCACAAGGGAGGGGAGGGGAUUCAGGGGCAGGUAACAUACCUUCAAGAAGAGCUCUAGGGAACUUGUCACCUUGCAAGCAAAUACGGGCAAGGGUUAAACUGAUUUUUUUUCUUUCCGUAACCACAACCAAUGGGGUGACCCCCAAACCAUGCAUUCAACACAAUACAAAGAAAACUCUUAUAAGAACAUUUAUUGGGGACAUUCAGUAUUUCCAUCAGGGAUAAUUAUUAUAGGAAAUAUUCCUUCUUGCAAAUGGUGGAUAAGAAUUUUCUCUUUACAAAUUAGGGAAUAAUAACCAAAUUGGCUUCAGCACAGAAAGGGGCAACCAGAGACAACUGGCCCACUUGAUGCCCACAGGUGAGACUUGAAUGAGUCUUUCGAUCCCUGUGGGGCAUGGAGUUGAUCCUUGUUACUUUAGAGCAAGGUGCCUUGUAAUUGAAGGGAUGCACCUGGACAAAUUCUGCCUGGACCUCGAGUCCUGCCUUGGGCUGAGUUUUCCAGACUUAACAGGGGACAAAUGUGGCUCUUGGGGGCAGGUGACAUUGAUUCCAUGCCAGUGUCCACGUUUCUCCCCCAGGACCUUGUCACCGUCUCUCAUGAUUCUGGGGUUGGCAGUAUUCCCAGUAAAGGCAGCUCUCCUUUGGACUAGGCCUCUGCCCUGCACAGGUGAUGAUGGGGAGCGGCCGUUUUCUGGGGAACCUUCUUGCCUUUUUCCUUUUAUGUUAGGAUAAAUCCAUUGAAAAAAGUUCUUCAUCUGGUUUCUGAGGCUUUCAGGAGGAGCUUGUCCCUUCAGUGACUGGGC